CAUCACGCUCAAGCUAAAAACAUGAACGACAACAUGUUCAGAGAAUUACCUUUUAUAAAUGAAGAAGUGUGUACAGUUUGUAGCUCUCACCUGAAUCGCUUCAGCAUACAAUACAAGUUUGCCAAAAAACGUUAGGCUUGACGUGUAACAAGUUUGGCAAACUGUGGUACAGUGUCACUGUAGGGAAUAUCUACACACGUGCCAGUAUAACCUUCGAAGCACCAACCAUGAAAA